CCUACGGGAGGCAGCAGUGAGGAAUAUUGGUCAAUGGGCGAGAGCCUGAACCAGCCAAGUCGCGUGAAGGAUGAAGGAUUUAUGGUUUGUAAACUUCUUUUAUAUGGGAAUAAAGUGAGGAACGUGUUCCUUUUUGUAUGUACCAUAUGAAUAAGCAUCGGCUAACUCCGUGCCAGCGGCCGCGGUAAUACGGAGGAUGCGAGCGUUAUCCGGAUUUAUUGGGUUUAAAGGGUGCGUAGGUGGUUAAUUAAGUCAGCGGUGAAAGUUUGUGGCUCAACCAUAAGAUUGCCGUUGAAACUGGGUGACUUGAGUAUAUGUGAGGUAGGCGGAAUGCGUGGUGUAGCGGUGAAAUGCAUAGAUAUCACGCAGAACUCCGAUUGCGAAGGCAGCUUACUAAACUAUAACUGACACUGAAGCACGAAAGCGUGGGGAUCAAACAGGAUUAGAUACCCUAGUAGUC
rnacentral:rRNA from 1 species